rnacentral:precursor_RNA from 17 species
UACCCUUUCCUGAGUCAAAUGCUUUGCUAAAGCUGGUAAAAUGGAACCAAAUCAACUCUUCUAUGGAUUUGGUCCCCUUCAACCAGCUGUAGCUGUGCAUUGAUCGCCACAGCAUGAGCU